rnacentral:rRNA from 1 species
GGGUUAAGUCCCGCAACGAGCGCAACCCUUGUCACUAGUUGCCAUCAUUUAGUUGGGCACUCUAGUGAGACUGCCGGUGGACAAACCGGGAGGAAGGUGGGGAUGACGUCAAGUCCUCAUGGCCCUUAUGGGUAGGGCUUCACACGUCAUACAAUGGUCGGGACAGAGGGUUGCCAACCCGCGAGGGGGAGCUAAUCCCAGAAACCCGAUCGUAGUCCGGAUUGCAGUCUGCAACUCGACUGCAUGAAGUCGGAAUCGCUAGUAAUCGCGGAUCAGCAUGUCGCGGUGAAUACGUUCCCGGGUCUU